AAUUGCUGCGACAUUACUGACACUGCCUUCUAGAGGGACGAGGAAGUUCAACACAAACCUGGCCAAUCCCAAGGCAGUAUCAGGGUGGGUUUUGUUCGAGUUUCUCCAUCUGCAAUCCAGCAGCAUAGCCUUCUGUGGGAGAUUCACCCAGAGGGACUGAAAUGCUUAAGGGGGAAGAAAAAGAAGAAGGAACCCAAUGCUGUCACUUUGGAAAGCUUUUACUGUAAUCAACCUUACAACGUGUUUUGUUAUACGAUACAAAGAAGGUUUAAUCUCUCUUGCCUAGCACACUCCCUCCAGGGUUUUACUGCUUACAAAGGGAGCUUUCACUUUGACUGUGGCAAAAAUAGUGUCAAACCCCAUUGUGAGGUACUGCUUUUAGUCUGGAUUCAUUUGGGAAGUUCUGAAGAAUCUGUGACUUCAUGAAAUAUGUGAAAAAAGCAGGACUGCUUCUGAAGAGUGACAUUUCCUAUACUUUUUGCCUCCCAUUAAUAUAAUUUCUAAAAGGCGUUUCAUUUUGCUGUUGCAAAUCCUUGCACAGUUCACGAUCUGAAUGAUUAUAAAAAUAACAGUGAGUGAAGAUUUCCAUAACUCUUGUUUGUCAUAAAUGUUCUGCAAACAUGUUCUGGAUGUGCAGACUCCAGGUAUUCCGGGUACAAAAGGAGAAGUCAAACGGAGGUCUUAGAGUGAAGCCACUGACCUGGGGCUCAGAACUGCUGAGCUCCAUCUAUAGAACUGAAACUUUGAGUUUUUCUUCUGUUUUGGGGGCGGUGAUGGGUUUUUUUAUGGUUUUGUUUUCAUGUUGAUGUAAAGGGAAGAAAAACAAUUUUUACAUAAUGAGCUCUGGCCUGAAUAUUUUCUAAAGCUCAAGCCAAGUGCAAGCCCUGACUGCUGGAAAAGGUUAUUAGAAAGUUGCAAUGCAAGAAAUUCCACUGUACUUCCAAAUUUUUGCCAGGCCUGAAGACUGACAGAUGGAAACUUCCCAAGAGGAUUUGGCUUUGUUCACACAGAGCCAAACAAGUGAUUUCCAUCUGGAUCCCUUUGUUGUGAUUGAGGAAAGUAAGCAAUGAACAAGAAGCAUCUCUCCUGAUGAAAGGAGCACAGUGAAACACCACAUGGUCAGCAAUGCACAUGUCCUGCAGCAGGAACCACAGACACCUCUUCUGUCAGGAGAAGCCCCGUGAAACAGAAUAAAUUUGUCAUUACAUUACUUUCUCUGCUUGUAGUAUCAGCACUCUCCAGAUUAAGCAGGACUUUCGGAUAAACAUCUGAAUGUUUCUAUCUGACCGACCUGUACAAAGCUAGGCCUGUGGGCGCAGCCCUCUGCCAGGGGUUGGUAUACAAAGGGUGUCAUAAAUAGAAAAGAAAGUGUGUUGAGUCCUGCUGACAGCCAGCUGCCCACCCUGACACCGUACUGCUGGGACCUCACGCCAUCAUUCUCUUGCAGGCCUUGUUUUGGCCAAUCCACACUAGCAGUCAUUGGGCUGAAGUUUUCUUUGUCUCCCAGGAUGGAGAAAUUGGACUGAUUCCUCAGACAAGGAAGAGAGCCAGGCACCAAAUCCCGAGAUCUGGAUCUGCAAUCACUGCCUGGUCAGGCUGGAAUGAAUAAUCCAGCUGUAAUGGGGUGUGGGAAUGUGUGCAGCAUGCCCUUUUUUAAACUUCUGAUACUUUGCAGAAGAGGCACACCUUACAUCAGCCAGGCCUUACAGAAAGUUCAGUUCAAAGUUUUUGGCUUUUUCUGCGUCUUUUGAAUGAAACAAACACAGAUUACAUAGUUUUAAAUUCCCCAUCCUAUCUACACAGGCUCAUUUGCUGUCAUGUUUAGCUACUUGUAGAAAAGAAGAAACACUACCCCUUUAAUUCUUCAAAUAGGUUACUAGAAAAACAUUAGCAUUUUUGCAAAAUAUAUUGGGUUGACUGUUUUGGUUUAUUUUUGCUGAGAGCAGACUGGAUUGACUACAGAAAGGUUGGCAAGUGGAAAGUACAAAGUCUCUUUAUAAAAGUGAUCUGAGGAGCAGGAGCACGCACCUAGGAAAUCUUUGUUGAUUGUUGCUAAUAUCUAUGAUAAUUAAGCUAAAAAUAUCCACAAAGCAAUAGAAUUUGCAGAGACGACUCUACUGUCUUAAGCAAAUAAUGAAGCAGGGAACAGUUAAAUUGAUCCCACAACUCCCAUUUCAAUAACAAAGCAGCAACAACUGUUAAUCUAUAGCACUCACUUUAGAUUACAAACCUAACACUGAACAGGCAAUUUCAUUAGUGAGAAUACAGCUGAGAGAGAAAUGCUGGGAGGGAAAAAAGCCAUCCCUGUUGAAAUCAAAGCAUCCUGAGAAUUUCUUGCUGCUGUGUGCCCAGAAGUGCAAUCAGGGAAAAGUUCUGAAGAUAUCAGGUACAGCUAUAGGAAGCAGUUCCCUUUUGUUUUGCCCUGAAGGCUGUCAGAACACAGCCUGCUGACCGAUCUCACCAACCCAGGUUUUUCCUUUUUAUUCUUGUCCCCCAGCUCAACACAUUCUCUGAGAGCCAACCAACCCCCAAGCUCACCCACAGAUACCAGCACUGCCUGGAAGAGAGAGUUCUCUUUUAAAAUUAGCUCCUUUCAGACGCUUGUACAAACCCAUAGAUAUCACAGGGCCUGCAGAACCAGUGCCAAGGAACAUCCCCAGAGUGAUGCUGCCAAUGAAGGAGGGAAGGCUCAUUCCCCAUCAGUGCUGGCAGCUGUGGGGACCUUAUGGGAGUCAGAACUUUCUGUUCUCACUGAAGGUAGCAGGCAGGACUAUAAAUAUCCACAUAGAACAUAUUUACUGAAGGAUUGAGUGCUGUAAGAACACAUUUUAGAGGUAAUAGCAGCUACUGAGAUAAAAUCAAAGAACUACAUAAUAAUGGAGGUGAGAAGGGACCUCUGAAAGCACCUACUCCAGCCUCCUGCUCAAAGCAGAGCCAACUUCCAUUACAGGGUGUGCUGCCUGCGACCGUGGCCAGCUGUGUUCUGACAGAUCUCAGGGAUGGAGAGCCCACAGACUUUCCAAGGAAGCUGUUUCUGUGUUGCAUAACCUUCAUUCUGAUGAAUUUUUUCCUCAGAAUGUACGUCUACUCUCUCAUCAUUUUGCAGCAUGCUGCUGCAGAGAGUCUGACUCCAGCUUCACUACAAUAUCAUUGAGGUAAUGGAAGACGGCAAUUAGAAGUCCCAUUAGCCAACCUUCUCCAGGCUAAACAAACUCAGCACCCUUAGACUCUCCUAAUACAUCUCCUGAACAUCCUAUUGACCCUUGACUGGACGUGCUCCCAUUUUUUGACCUAUCAGUUGCACUGGAACAGUCUUCCAACUGUGAGUUGCAAUCUCACAAGUGCAGAGCUGAGGUUAAUGAUGGACCUGUUGGCUACAUUCAUAUGCAGCCAGGCUUCAUUACCCUAAGCACACACUGCUCAUAACCACUUUGUGGUCCACCAGGACCCCAGGUCCUUUCUGCAGAGCUUCUCCCAUUCAGUCCAUAUUGUUGAUGUAUCUCAGAGGCAGGACCAGCUGUGCUUGCCCUCAGGAUGAGAUUCUUGCUAGCCUAUUCUUCAAGCUUGUUAAGAUCUUUGCCUUUCUUUGAUAACAGACCUUAGAAGUUUGGGUAACAUUUUCUGCAUGUGCUCAUGAAAAGAAAAAAAAAUGAAUAAAGAGAGAAAAAAAAGAAGAAAAAAAAGGAGUAAAUAUAGGACUUUUGUAUAUAUGUGCAAACUCACAAGUGUUAUGCUGUUUUGUACCACCACUCUACAUUCCUUACAAUACUACUAGAGGCCAAGGAAAACUGAAAUCCCAGCUGACAUCAACAGGAGUUUUUACUGGCUGCGAUGACCUUGAAGAUAGUCCAGACAUGUAAAGCACAACAGCAGGAAUCAGGAUGUCAGCAUUAGCACUGGGAUGGAAUUGAUUAACAUGAUUUUUCUAGAAAGGAAGGAAGAUAAGUUGCUGCUUUUGAGUGGGGGACUUGAAAUCUAUAACUAAUAUUCCUGACUGAAAUUCUGUUAGCAAAAUUUAUGACACAGAUGGGAAUCACAUUUUUCUUCAGAUAAGAACACUUCUUGUAGUCAUUCAUUCUGUAUUUCAUGAGACACUAGCAGAUACAGUGAGCUAUUUCACUCUAUUUCUGCUUAUAGAGCAUCCUGACUUUUCGACACUUCAAAAACUGUAUAUAUUGUGAUGACUAUAUAGACAACCUCAAUGAAAGUCUACUACUGCAUGCUUAAUAAUUCACUUGUAUCCAAAUGGAAAUAUUCAUUGCAGCAUUAGCAAAGGCUGUUCUAAGUCAUGCAGUGGCUGUUCACCAAAUUUAACUUCCCAUGCCCAGAUUCUUGUAAGAAUUUCUCCUAUACAUCGCAUCUCCUUUAUUGCUUUAUUGCAGGAGUUUAGAAAAAACGCUGCCCUUCCAUAAUGGAAUUUUUCUCCUCCCUUGUUGCAGUUGCGUAUGCAUUUUACAAGUACACAAUGACUGUGCUGCUUUAACUUUGUUACAAUACUCGGGGAAUAAUUAGUUCUGUAUCUUCUAACAAAGAACAAAUGUAUUUGUUCAAAAAUUAAAUAUUUACUUUCCUAAGAGCCAUCAUAAGUUGUUGUGAGUGCUUGUCUACAUUAUGUGUGGAAAAUUAAAUAUACUCUGUAUAAUAAUUCUGCUGGUAUAAUAAAGGAUUAUGCAUGACAAGGGAAA
rnacentral:lncRNA from 1 species